UACGAAGGGUGCAAGCGUUGUUCGGAAUUACUGGGCGUAAAGCGCGCGUAGGCGGGUUUGUAUGUCGAUUGUGAAAUCCCUGGGCUCAACCCGGGAACUGCAGUCGAAACUACAAAUCUUGAAUGUCUGAGAGGAUGGCGGAAUAACCGGUGUAGUAGUGAAAUACGUAGAUAUCGGUUAGAACACCUGAGGCGAAGGCGGCUAUCUGGCGGUACAUUGACGCUGAGGCGCGAAAGCGUGGGGAGCAAAC
rnacentral:rRNA from 1 species